rnacentral:misc_RNA from 1 species
GAUGAAGAACGUAGCGAAAUGCGAUACGUAAUGUGAAUUGCAGAAUUCAGUGAAUCAUCGAAUCUUUGAACGCAUAUUGCGCUCUCUGGUAUUCCGGAGAGCAUGCUUGUUUGAGUAUCAGUAAACACCUCAACUUCCAUACCUUUUUUUGAAAUGGGAGUUGGACUUGAGUGAUCCCAACGCUUUUCCUCACCGAAAAGUGGCGGGUUACUUGAAAUGCAGGUGCAGCUGGACUUUUCUCUGAGCUAUAAGCAUAUCUAUUUAGUCUGCCUAAAAAACAGAUUAUUACCUUUGCUGCAGCUAACAUAAAGGAGAUUAGUUCUUGUGCUGACUGAUGCAGGAUUCACAAAGACAGCUUCGGCCGACUUUGUAAACUCGAUCUCAAAUCAAGUAAGACUACCCGCUGAACUUAAGCAUAUCAAUAAGCGGAGGA